UUAGAGUUUGAUCCUGGCUCAGGACGAACGCUGGCGGCGUGCCUAACACAUGCAAGUCGAGCGAAUGAAAUUCCUUCGGGAACGGAUUUAGCGGCGGACGGGUGAGUAACACGUGGGCAACCUGCCUCAUAGAGGGGAAUAGCCUUCCGAAAGGGAGAUUAAUACCGCAUAAGAUUGUAGUACCGCAUGGUACAGCAAUUAAAGGAGCAAUCCGCUAUGAGAUGGGCCCGCGGCGCAUUAGCUAGUUGGUGAGGUAACGGCUCACCAAGGCGACGAUGCGUAGCCGACCUGAGAGGGUGAUCGGCCACAUUGGGACUGAGACACGGCCCAGACUCCUACGGGAGGCAGCAGUGGGGAAUAUUGCACAAUGGGGGAAACCCUGAUGCAGCAACGCCGCGUGAGUGAUGACGGCCUUCGGGUUGUAAAGCUCUGUCUUCAGGGACGAUAAUGACGGUACCUGAGGAGGAAGCCACGGCUAACUACGUGCCAGCAGCCGCGGUAAUACGUAGGUGGCGAGCGUUGUCCGGAUUUACUGGGCGUAAGGGGAGCGGAGGCGGAUUUUUAAGUGAGAUGUGAAAUACUCGGGCUUAACCUGAGUGCUGCUUUUCAAGCUGGAAGUCCUAGAGUGCAGGAAAGGAGAAGGGAUUUCCUAGUGUACCCGGUGAAAUGGCUAAAAAUUAAAAAAAACCCCCAGGGGCGAAAGGGGCCUUCCCGGGACUGGAAAUGACCCCUGAAGGCUCAAAAGGGGGGGGGGAACAAAAAAGGAAUUAAACCCCCCGGUA
rnacentral:rRNA from 1 species